rnacentral:misc_RNA from 1 species
CAAGCUUCUUUUGCGAACUGCUUCUAUAAACAUGCUUCUCGCCCUGCUGAUUAGUAUCUUUCUCAAUUCUCAUGUUCUAUGUUUGAUCAAAUCCUUAUCGCUAAGCGAGAGCUAGAGACACACUAAGGCCAUGUCCAUAGCUCGAGUUUACGCCGACGUCAACGUUCACCGUCCUAGAGAUUACUGGGAUUACGAGUCUGUCGUCGUUCAGUGGGGUGAUCAAGAUGACUAUGAGGUGGUUCGAAAGGUUGGUAGGGGAAAAUACAGUGAGGUUUUUGAAGGUAUUUGUGUAAAAAACAGUGAGAGAUGCAUAAUUAAGAUACUCAAGCCUGUCAAGAAAAAGAAGAUAAAGAGGGAGAUAAAAAUUCUGCAGAAUCUUUGUGGAGGUCCCAAUAUUGUGAAAUUGCUUGAUGUUGUCAGAGAUCAGCACUCAAACACUCCCAGCUUGAUUUUUGAAUAUGUUAACAGUACAGAUUUUAAAAUUUUUUACCCAACAUUGACAGAUUAUGACAUUCGCUACUAUAUAUAUGAGCUUCUCAAGGUAACUUCUUUUGUUCUUACUGUAAUGUACUGGCUCCCUAGAUCCAUAUCCUCCUUUUUUUCCCUUGUUCUGAACUUGGAUAUAUAUGUUGUACUUAAUGAUGGAAGAAGAUGUCCACUUGUUUUUAAGAAAACUAUAAUGCUAAAUGAUGCAGAAUAAUUGCUGGGUAAAGCUCUCUGUUUGACUGGAUUGUUUGAGAAAAUUAGCAGAUUUGUUUAUCAGAAUGGAUAGAUGACAUUCUGAUUAUGAACAGGCUUAUUAUAUCACCUAACAAGAUUAGUAUUUUAGUUUGCAUGCGGAACCAUGAAUUGGUGUUUGCUAAGUGUUUGCCUGUUAAUAUGGUUGGUCUGUACCACGUCAAUGGUCAUAAUCUUCUAAUAAACUAUUCCAAGUGUCGGUCUGCAAUAAAACUGUGCCCACUAUGCAAACCGACAUACUGUUUCUUCUGGCUGUUGUUUAUGUGUCACCAUAUUAUAGUGUCUUACGUUUGCAAUAACGUUUGACUACUCUUUGAAGGGAGGGCCAGAUUUUUGGGGUGUUUCAAAAUGAUCUGUUAUAUGCACAUUUAAUCCAUUUCUUUCUUUAAUUUUAGGCACUAGAUUAUUGCCAUUCACAAGGCAUAAUGCAUAGAGAUGUGAAACCUCACAAUGUAAUGAUUGACCAUGAGUUGCGAAAACUACGCUUGAUUGACUGGGGACUUGCAGAAUUCUACCAUCCUGGCAAAGAAUAUAAUGUCAGGGUAGCUUCAAGGUACUUUAAGGGGCCUGAACUCCUUGUUGAUUUACAAGACUAUGAUUAUUCUUUAGAUAUGUGGAGUCUUGGCUGUAUGUUUGCUGGAAUGGUGAGCUUUUUUCCUUUUAACUUUCUACCUCCUCAGCGUCACCCUACCCCUUUCUUUCUUUUUUUAGCAUGGAGAUUGUUAUCUGCAUAUUAGGGUUUUAUUGUUUAAAUUAUGUCAUUUCAUAUUAAAUUCUUCCAAUGCACUUUUAUGGUACAUAUGGAAGCGGACCUUGAAUUGUUCUGCCAUCAAGUCUUGGCCUCAGUCCAAAUGGUAUGAUUUUUCGCCAAUAAUGGACUUUGUAGUUGGCUCCCUUGGAUGGCUUGCAAUAGAUUAUGCCUUUGUUUCGUUUUCCAGGUCUAUGUUCUUGGUGAUACCAUAGACAAGUGAAUCUUGCUCUGCUUGCAUACUUACCCAUGUCUGGCAGAUGGCAUGGAGGAUUGAAAUAUGAUUUAAUGCUGCUGAGCUAUGUGAUGCUCUCUUGUUGUACAGAUAUUCCGAAAGGAGCCAUUCUUCUAUGGGCAUGAUAAUUAUGAUCAGCUAGUCAAAAUUGCCAAGGUACUCGGAACAGAUGAAUUAAAUGCAUAUUUGAAUAAGUACCGCAUAGAAUUGGAUCCUCAUCUUGCAGCCCUAGUUGGCAGGCAUAACCGGAAACCAUGGACGAAGUUUAUUAAUGUUGAGAAUCAGCAUUUGGCAGUUCCUGAGGCUGUUGACUUCCUUGACAUGUUGCUGCGAUAUGAUCACCAAGAUAGGCCAACUGCAAAAGAAGCAAUGGCCCAUCCAUACUUCUAUCCAAUUAGAAACGCAGAAAGCAGCAGGGUUCGUACGUAGUUUCAAAUCUCAGGAUGCUGUCAAGUUGCAGCAUCUGUCUGUGCUUGUUAAGGAGCUUUCCCUUGUAAUCUGACGUAAUUUAAAAUUAUGGUGGUGAGCAUGCAUCUGAUGAACUCGUUAAUGUUUCUGUUGUUACGAAGUGAUUCGAUUUUUCAAUGCUUAAUUUAGAUAUUUUCACACUUUGAUAGUAUUGUUAUUGUGAGUUUACUGCGUGUGUUUUUUUAUUGGGAAUGGAAAAUUAGUCUUGG